UAUAUUCAAUGUAUCUACAUUUAUUUAUUUUAAACGUAAAUUAGAAAAAGUGAGCAAGCAAUAUAUUAAACUGUAUAAAAGAGAGCAGGAGAAAAAAUAUAUAAUAAAUUGUAGAAGUAUUUAGAAAUGUAACAAAAUUUUUAUUAUAAAAUGCAUGUUUCCUUAUUGAUAAUGUAAAAAUUUUUGUCACAUACAAAAUUAAGUAUAUGUAAGAGAUUGUUGUGAGAUGUAUGAAGUUAGAUGUUUUAUUAUUUAGUUUCGAUAAAUCACCUUUUCAAUUUGAAAAGACCCGAGGUAAUUAAAAAAAAAAUGAUUUAUAUAACGUUAUUCUAUAUAUUAAGAAUAAAUAUCUAAUCUUUAAGUCCGGAUCUACAAUAGUUCAAAAAUUCUGAUGAAAUCUGUAGUGGCCUCGCUAUUAAUGAAAUCUUGAUUUCCUGCUUUUCUCAGAAAAUCUAUUGCAUCGGGAACAGAAUUGCUAAUGACUUGAACUGCUAAUCUAACAUUCAUUUUUUUAUUAUAAAAAUUCGUAUGUUCCUUAGACAGUUUAUUACAUAAUUUGAGAUUAUCCAUUUCUUGCAAAAUAUGCAGUACUCGGAUAUAUUCAAAUGAUAUUUUUCCUGCUUUAGAGUAAAGCAUUUUAUCAAAAAAUGUGUUUCUAAUAAGUUUAAUCAUAUAGGCAGCAUCAAGUAUGCAAUAAACAUUAAUCAGUAUCGAGAGAUGUAUGAAUGAUGUCUUGAGUUCUAAAAAAACAAAAUUUGAGAAAUCACACCCAAGUAAUUCAAAAGUUUUCAAAUUGGCUUUGGCACCAUCAUAAGCGAUGAAAUGUACAAUAUAAUACCAACUUCAUAGAGUUUUAUAAGAGCAUGAAUAAGUAAUUAUGGUUUUGUAUAAUACCAGAGAAUUUAUUAAUAAAAACAUAUGUGAUUGAAAAUUUAAAUUUUCUAGUAUAAGAUACAAUUUAAAAUACUAAAACCUCUGUUAAUUCUUGGCUUAUAUUUUGACUAAUAGUACCAUAAUCAAUAAAACCUCUGUGUUUAUCUUUGGUUUGGUCAUAUACAAUUUGACGCAAUGACAUAGAAUCAAAAAUUAAUGUAAUGUUAUUUAAAAAAUCCAAUUUAGAAAUAUUUUGUUUUUUUUUUAAAA